GGGGUGGGGGAUGCGGGUCUCAACUGCUUUGGAAUGAGCACAUCUGGGAGUUCUCAACAAGUCAGCUCAAUAAUUGAACAAUAGGAAAUGGCUCGGUAUGUUUGGGAAAGAGGGCACUGGAAAUCAGGAGCCUUUGGAUUCAAGCUCUAGCUGUCACCCCCUCAGCCAUGUUUGAAGUUCCAGAAAAGGUAGCUUCUUCCUAUACCAGAAGGCACCUGGCCCUUCCUCCACAACCUAUACAGAAUGCCUAGGAGUGAUUGGAUGUUUUAAUUUCACUCAUUCUCAAAUGGGCCACUCAUCACUAGUCUCAGACUGGAAGACCCCAUGGAAAUGGAGAACAAAGUCUCCCUUGACAUUCAACGAGGCAGCCUGGGAAACUGCAACCUAGACCUUCUCUGCACGGCGUUUCCUAAGCUGCUACUGGGAGCUUCCAGAGGUUUAUUCUUCUAGAUGUUCUUAUACUUCUAAAAAGAAGACUUUCCUGAGGACAGGAAGCUUACAAAUUAGAGUCAGUUGAGCAAUCUGAGACCAAGAAGGGAUUACAAUGGCCAGUCACUGACUAAAGGAAAUGAGAUAAAAUAACUGAGACUCAGAGUGGCUAAGAAAUCUAAGGGAUCACCAGGAUGGCAGUUAAGAUCCAAGCCUAUAUCCUCUGUGUGUGGGGAAGAAGUAAAUAGAGCCUCCAUAAUCAAUAGUUCAAGUCACUUGAAGACUUGGUGGAAGAGAUCAGAUCUUCAAAAAGAAAUCAAUUUCAGAAGUACCUGAAGGAUCAAAAGAAGAUGGAAAGCUAAGCCUCCAAGUCUUCACAACUAUCACCAGGAUCAUGUGUCUCCUUAGAGCAGGGACGGUCACAUAUAUCCCUGAGAAGAUGCUAGUAGGUCCAAAAGUAUUGAGAGUAUCAUGUUAGGAGGUACUAAUCAUUCAUGGUUUAUGUCUCCAGAGUCUGAGGGGUAGCAAACCAAGGUGGGACAGUCUGGACUUCAGAAUAGAUUCAAAAAACUCAUUUAUCUCUUCAACUCAGAGGGUGCAUUUAUUUUCUCCUUCCUUUCCUCGCUUCCUCUUCCCUGGACUCAGCAGGGAAGCAAAUCUAUGCAGCCCCACCCUAAAAUCAUUGCCAAAAGGAACAUCAAUUUAUAAGAGCUCAGUGUCCUGGUGUCUGACACAGUACCCAUUGUUGAGACAGACAAUGGGAAAGCAUGGAAGUGACUAAGACUUGGGCUAGCCUUGACUAUGCUGAGAGUCCCUUACUAAUGAUCUUGGAGCUAGCAGAGUUGUGAAGUACAUCAUGACAUCUCUCAGUAGCAUGCAUGAAGAUGUAUGCAUCCUUUUUCUGCCUAAAUGACAAUCCCACUGCUAUAUUCUAGCCUGCUUCCAUUGACAAUGGAAAGAUAAUUUUAGGCGAGACCUAAAAGCCAAUGCAGGAGUCAGUAAAAUGCUUUUCCUUGGGAGGGAGGUGAGGGAUUCUGAGCACAGAAAGUUGAAUGUGACACCAAAUGCUUUUCCUGCAUAGUUUUGCUUAACAGAUUUUCUUUGUGGAAAGGGAAGACGGUAAUAUCUAACUGUGACAUAAAACAUAGAAAGCAUUAAAAAAGAUUUUAAAAUGAGAAAAAAAUAGAAGAGUCAAUUAUUUGAACUUGAUUCUGCUG